rnacentral:rRNA from 1 species
AUUGAACGCUGGCGGCACGCCUAACACAUGCAAGUCGAACGAGUGGCGGACGGGUGAGUAAUGUCUGGGCAACUGCCUGAUGGAGGGGGAUAACUACUGGAAACGGUAGCUAAUACCGCAUACCAUCGGAUGUGCCCAGAUGGGAUUAGCUAGUAGGUGGGGUAAAGGCUCACCUAGGCGACGAUCCCUAGCUGGUCUGAGAGGAUGACCAGGCACACGGGAGCUGAGACACGGGCCAGACUCCUACGGAAGGCAGCAGGGGGGAAUAUGGCACAAUGGGCGCAAGCCUGAUGCAGCCAGGCCGCGUGUAUGAAGAAGGCCUUCGGGUGGUAAAGUACGUUCAGCGGGGAGGCGUUACCCGCAGAAGAAGCACCGGCUAACUCCGUGCCAGCAGCCGCGGUAAUUC